AACGAACGCUGGCGGCAGGCCUAACACAUGCAAGUCGAACGCCGUAGCAAUACGGAGUGGCAGACGGGUGAGUAACGCGUGGGAACAUACCCUCCGGUUCGGAAUAACUCAGGGAAACUUGAGCUAAUACCGGAUACGUCCAAGGUUUUAAUCGGCCUUGGAGAAAGAUUUAUCGCUGGAGGAUUGGCCCGCGUCUGAUUAGCUUGUUGGUGAGGUAAUGGCUCACCAAGGCGACGAUCAGUAGCUGGUCUGAGAGGAUGAUCAGCCACAUUGGGACUGAGACACGG
rnacentral:rRNA from 1 species